rnacentral:rRNA from 1 species
GGAGUAUGGACCGUGUCUCAGUUCCAUUGUGGGGGACCUUCCUCUCAGAACCCCUACCCAUCGUCGGUUUGGUGGGCCGUUACCCCGCCAACUGCCUAAUGGGACGCGAGCCAAUCCGUGGCCGCCGAAGCUUUCAAACAAAGUCCAUGCGAACUCUGUUGUUACGGGGUCUUAGACGACGUUUCCAUCGCUUAUCCCCCUGCCACGGGCAUGUUGCUCACGCGUUACGCACCCUUCCGCCGGUCGCCAUCAACAAGAGCAAGCUCUCGUCAUGCUGCCCCUCGACUUGCAUGUGUUAAGCCUGUAGCUAGCGUUCAUC